rnacentral:rRNA from 1 species
AGAGUUUGAUUCUGGCUCAGAACGAACGCUGGCGGCAUGCCUAACACAUGCAAGUCGAACGAGAAAGUCCGCAAGGAUGAGUAGAGUGGCGCACGGGUGAGUAACACGUGGGUAAUCUGCCCUUUAGCCUGGGAUAACCCUUCGAAAGAAGAGCUAAUACCGGAGAGACCACAACGACAUAAGUCGAAGGGGUUAAAGAUGGGGACCGCAAGGCCUAUCACUAGAGGAUGAGCUCGCGCACUAUCAGGUAGUUGGUGAGGUAAUGGCUCACCAAGCCUAUGACGGUUAGCUGGUCUGAGAGGAUGAUCAGCCACACUGGAACUGAGACACGGUCCAGACUCCUACGGGAGGCAGCAGUGGGGAAUUUUGCACAAUGGGCGCAAGCCUGAUGCAGCAAUGCCGCGUGAGUGAUGAAGGCCUUCGGGUUGAAAAUCUCUGUCGGUUGGGAAAAACGCCUUUUCAUUUAAUAAAUGAAAAGGGUGAUGGUACCAGCAAAGGAAGAGGCGGCUAACUCUGUGCCAGCAGCCGCGGUAAUACAGAGGCCUCAAGCGUUGUUCGGAAUUACUGGGCGUAAAGGGAAUGUAGGUGGUUACGUAAGUAAGAUGUGAAAGCCCUGGGCUUAACCCGGGAACUGCAUUUGAUACUGCGUGACUUGAGUGCGAUAGAGGAGAGCGGAAUUCCUAGUGUAGGAGUGAAAUCUGUAGAUAUUAGGAGGAAUACCGAUGGCGAAGGCAGCUCUCUGGCUCGUAACUGACACUGAGAUUCGAAAGCGUGGGUAGCAAACAGGAUUAGAUACCCUGGUAGUCCACGCCGUAAACGAUGGAUGCUUGUUGUUGGAGGAGUAAAUCCUUUCAGUAACGAAGCUAACGCGUUAAGCAUCCCGCCUGGGGAGUACGGUCGCAAGAUUAAAACUCAAAGAAAUUGACGGGGACCCGCACAAGCAGUGGAGCAUGUGGUUCAAUUCGACCACGCGAAGAACCUUAUCCUGGUCUUGACAUCCUCGGACCGCCAGCGAAAGUUGGCUUUCCCGCAAGGGACUGAGAGACAGGUGCUGCAUGGCUGUCGUCAGCUCGUGUCGUGAGAUGUUGGGUUAUUCCCGUAACGAGCGCAACCCACGCCUCUUGUUGCCAUCAUUAAGUUGGGCACUCUAGAGGGACCGCCGGUGUUAAACCGGAGGAAGGUGUGGAUGACGUCAAGUCCUCAUGGCCCUUAUGAUCAGGGCUACACACGUGCUACAAUGCAAGGUACAAAGGGUCGCGAAAUGGUGACAUGGAGCCAAUCCCAAAAAACCUUGCUCAGUUCGGAUCGAAGUCUGCAACUCGACUUCGUGAAGCUGGAAUUGCUAGUAAUCACAGAUCAGCAUGCUGUGGUGAAUACGUUCCCGGGUCUUGUACACACCGCCCGUCACACCACGAAAGUUGUUUGCACCAGAAGUCACUGAGCUAACCGCAAGGAAGCAAGUGCCCAAGGUGUGUACAAUGAUCC